GCGCCUGUAGCUCAGCCGGAUAGAGCACCGGAUUCCUAAUCCGGGUGUCGGGGGUUCGAGUCCCUCCAGGCGCG
rnacentral:tRNA from 1 species